rnacentral:tRNA from 1 species
UAUUAGAAAGCAAUAUAAUGCCUUAGUCUUUUAAACUAUCUAUAAUAAAUUAAAAUUUAUUCUAAUAA